rnacentral:rRNA from 1 species
AACACAUGCAAGUCGAACGGGCGUAGCAAUACGUCAGUGGCAGACGGGUGAGUAACACGUGGAACGUACCUCUUGGUCCGGAACAACACAGGGAAACUUGUGCUAAUACCGGAUAAGCCCUUACGGGGAAAGAUUUAUCGCCGGGAGAUCGGCCCGCGUCUGAUUAGCUAGUUGGUAGGGUAAUGGCCUACCAAGGCGACGAUCAGUAGCUGGUCUGAGAGGAUGAUCAGCCACAUUGGGACUGAGACACGGCCCAAACUCCUACGGGAGGCAGCAGUGGGGAAUAUUGGACAAUGGGGGCAACCCUGAUCUAGCCAUGCCGCGUGAGUGAUGAAGGCCCUAGGGUUGUAAAGCUCUUUUGUGCGGGAAGAUAAUGACGGUACCGCAAGAAUAAGCCCCGGCUAACUUCGUGCCAGCAGCCGCGGUAAUUC